GCCCGCGUAGCUCAACCUGGCAGAGCAGGGGACUCUUAAUCCCAAGGUUUAGGGUUCGAAUCCCUACGCGGGCACCA
rnacentral:tRNA from 1 species